CCCAGUUGAAUUCCGAACCUCCUUGGCCGUAAUCAGUCAAUAAUGGAAGUAAAAUCCAUAUUUGUAUUCCUUUUAACGAUUGGCGUAGUUAAUAUGGAGUUUUAUUUACCACCACCCUAUUUUGCCACGCCGCCCUAUUUUGCGCUGAUGUUACCAUCAGCUCCGGAUUUAUCAGCUCCGAAUUUCUCAGCUCCGGAUUUAUCAGCUCCGAAACCAUUAGCUCCGCAAGAAUCAGCACUACCGUCGAGCCCGAAUCAAUACUUGCCUCCACCACGAGGGCCAUUUGUCAAUGACACAACUGUAACCUAUGCCGCCCCAAUCCUACCAUCAUCACAAGUAGUUCGGUUAUACAACAAAAAGUUUACUUAAAUAAACAAUUUCCUAGA